GUCCACGCUGUAAACGAUGAUUACUCGAUGUGUGCGAUAUACAGUACGCGUCUAAGCGAAAGCAUUAAGUAAUCCACCUGGGGAGUACGGCGGCAACGCUGAAACUCAAAGGAAUUGACGGGGGCCCGCACAAGCGGAGGAACAUGUGGUUUAAUUCGAUGAUACGCGAGGAACCUUACCUGGGUUUGAACGUAGAAUGACAGGCGCUGAAAGGUGUUUUCCCUUCGGGGCAUUUUACGAGGUGCUGCAUGGUUGUCGU
rnacentral:rRNA from 1 species